UCAAGUAGGUUUCCCAUACUGAUGGGCUACAUAUUUCAGGGUGUAAUAUUACAUAAAAUUUAAUUAAAUAUUUCAAAGUUUAUUUUUCACCCAGGCCUUUUUACGUACACUAUAAAAGUUGCAUGAAAUUGAAAGAAAAUGUUCUUGUACUAAACUUAUACAGAAAAUCGAUAUCGGAGAAAGGACUCACACAAUGAUUACUCACUAUCAAAAUAGCUGCACUACAGUGACUCACUUUAAUCUUUGUUAUGCGCACGAAUAAACUGUUCAAAACACCACCGAUAAAGAUAUCGAGACAGAAAUUCCAUUCUAGGCAUAAAAGUACAUCAAACUAUGACCAAGUUGGGUCAGUUGUCGUUAAGCAUUGCAAGUAAGAAAGUGUGAUCUCAAGCCAUGGAGCUCAAAACUUCUUUAUUGCUGAUUCUAGCCUUCACUAUUUUCGAAAGCAAUUGUCUAAAGUGUUUCGAUUGUGGCGUGCCAAAUUUGAUGGUGGUGAAAUCUUUAAACUGCUUCAAAAGUGGAACUGAGUGUUUUGGCGAAAAUUCAACAUGCAUCGAUUUCCGAUUGAAAGAUCAAAAUCAGAAUUCGGAUUUCGUUAUCAAAGGAUGUGCUUCCACCGGAGUCUGCGAAUUUCUGGGAAGGAAACUGUCCAAUUUCAAGGAAAUUUCCUGCUCCCAGUGCUCCGAAGAUUGGUGCAAUGAUCAACACAUCACCAAGCGGGGGCGCAGAGAAGCAACUUCAACUCCAACGAAACCCAAACGUGGGCAAACACUGAAAGAUUUAGUGAAAAAAGUUCAAAAUGAACAAAAGGAAUCCAACAAAUUAACUAGAGAGAAAUUUGAAGAAAUUAUAUCAAAAUAUAAAAGUCUAAAUGAG